rnacentral:tRNA from 4 species
GCCCAGGUAGCUCAGUCGGUAGAGCAAAGGACUGAAAAUCCUUGUGUCGGUGGUUCGAUUCCGCCCCUGGGCAC